CCUCUACGCGUACGGGUUGUGAGAGCAAUAGCCCGGAGAUGGAUUCUGAGACACGAAUCCAGGUCCUACGGGACGCAGCAGUCGCGAAACCUUGACAAUGCGGGAAACCGUGAUCAGGGGACUCCAAGUGGCUGGGGUAAGACCCAGUCUUUUCUUGACUCUUCAAAGGUCUUGGAAUAAGGGGUGGGUAAGGACGGUGCCAGCCGCCGCGGUAAUACCGGCGCCUCAAGUGGUAGUCGAUUUUAUUGGGCCUAAAACGUCCGUAGCCUGUUUGGUACAUUCGUGGGUAAAUCAACCAGCUCAACUGGUUGAAUUCUGCGAGCACGGCCAGACUUGGGACCGGGAGAGGUGUGGGGUACGCUCAGGGUAGGGGUAAAAUCCUGUCAUCCUGAGCGGACCACCUGUUGCGAAGGCGCCACACUAGAACGG
rnacentral:rRNA from 1 species